GCGAACGUUAGCGGCGCGCCUAACACAUGCAAGUCGCACGAGAAAGGGCUUCGGCCCCCGGUAAAGUGGCGCACGGGUGAGUAACACGUGGGCAACCUGCCCAACCCUGGGGGAUAACCUGCCGAAAGGCGGGCUAAUACCGCGUACGAGGGCUCGACUUCGGUCGGGUUCUGAAAGCAGGCCUCUGAAUUCAAGCUUGUGGGGUUGGAUGGGCCCGCGGUCCAUCAGCUAGUUGGUGAGGUAAUGGCUCACCAAGGCAACGACGGAUAGCUGGUCUGAGAGGAUGAUCAGCCACACUGGAACUGAGACACGGUCCAGACUCCUACGGGAGGCAGCAGUGGGGAAUCUUGCGCAAUGGACGAAAGUCUGACGCAGCGACGCCGCGUGGGUGACGAAGGCCU
rnacentral:rRNA from 1 species